AAUCUCGUCACUAUCUUGCUAAAAAUGAAUUGUUAAAAUCACUAAUGACUACGGUCGGCAAAGAAUUUGGUACUGAAAAAAUUCUCAUCACCUUAUCAAAAGAUGAUGUGGAAAUAGGUGACCUAUUGCAGAAGUCCAUU